rnacentral:lncRNA from 1 species
UCCUGUUCUCUGUGGUAUUGCAGAGGGCUAGGGGUGCAGGUGCUGGGGUGGGAUCCACUGGGGCCCUGUGGGCAGAGCACAUCGGUGCCACCAGCCAGUGCUCCCAGCCUCAUACACCCACCCAGCAGUGGUGCCUCUGCUGCCCCCAGCCUCAGCUCCAGCCCAGUCAUCUCCAGCCAGAGCCCACCUACCCCCAGGGCAGAAGCACCCGCAGGGGCCCCAGUGCAGCCCCAGACACCCCGGGCUGAGAGCAGCCAGAGCAGGGCCCCAGUGCAGCCGUGUCCUCCCACGCUGGCACCGGCAUUUCCUUUACAUGAGCGGAGGAGACCCAGGCACGUCUCUGGGGCAGAGAAAGCAACCACGGGCUGGGACACGGCGCUUGCCCCCCGUGUGGCUCAGGCAGGGCCCGGGAAGGGGCAGCUGCCCACGCAGCAAACCACAGCUGCGGCACCGCGGCCGAACCGCGCUGACGGAGGCCCCAGUUCCCGGAGCAGGGUCAGGCAGAGCCACGCUCACACCCCACAGCACGUCGCUUCAGGGCCUUUAUUUUGGAGAAAGUUAAAGCCUGUAGAUACAGCAAUAAAAUAUACAAAAAAUAAAAUUUUUUACAGUAUUGAAUGCUGCCCUGGGCUCCAGGGACUGCGGCUGGAGGCAGCUAUGGUGAGUGAGCAGAGGGGCAAAGGGUCCUCAUCGCCCCUCAGCGUCCUCACGGACCCUCCAUCCUGCUCCCACACGGUUUGGGGGGGCUUUCCCAGACCCUACAGCCAUGGGGAUCCUCCCCCUUGCCCUCUGGUUCCGUGCCCACCAGCUGUGAUGCAGCUUGGAGGGAGCAGCUCUCCCCCUGCCUCCCUCACCCCUCCACUGCUCAUCCAUAUCUGUCUGCCCACUGCAUGGAAAGGGCAGGAGGGCUCCUCCAAGUUUGGAAAAUGCAGGACCACAACCAUCAACCCCCCCAGAAGCCAGGACAUCUGCACUUCACAACACCCAUGUCACUGUCCUGCACUGCCCCACAGCAGGUUCCUCUCCUCACAUCCACCUUCAACUUCUGCCCAUUCCCACCUUAACUGUGAGGGCCAAUCUCCAACAGAAAUGCCACAUGAAGCCCCCGAGAAGCUGCAGAGCCCAUGCCUGGCCCCUCACAACCCAGGGAGAAAGGGACAGGCCAGGUGCCAGCCAUGCUGGUUCCCCCAGUUCCCCAGGGUCCAACUGGUCUAA